rnacentral:rRNA from 1 species
CCCUUAGAUGUUCUGGGCCGCACACGCGCUACACUGAAGGAGGCAGCGUGUACUCCUGGAUCGAAAGAUUUGGGUAACCCGCGGAUCUCCUUCGUGCUAGGGAUUGAGGUUUGCAAUUAUCCUUCAUGAACGAGGAAUUCCCAGUAAGUGCAAGUCAUAAGCUUGCGCUGACUACGUCCCUGCCCUUUGUACACACCGCCCGUCGCUACUACCGAUUGAAUGAUUUAGUGAGGACUUCGGACUGGGACCGAUGCGGCUUUCGGGCUGCGUCGGUAUUCUGGAAAGAUGUCCAAACUGUAUCAUUUAGAGGAAGUAAAAGUCGUAACA